GAAAUGCGAUACUUGGUGUGAAUUGCAGAAUCCCGAUGUCUCGCUCUGUGAAGAGCGUAGCUUACAACGCGACCCCAGGUCAGGCGGGGCUACCCGCUGAAUUUAA
rnacentral:misc_RNA from 1 species